rnacentral:rRNA from 1 species
UUAUACAUGCAAGUCGAGCGCAUCCUUCGGGAUGAGCGGCGGACGGGUGAGUACGCGUGGGAAUGUGCCCUUCUCUACGGAAUAGCCACUGGAAACGGUGAGUAAUACCGUAUACGCCCUCAGUGGGGAAAGAUUUAUCGGAGAAGGAUCAGCCCGCGUUAGAUUAGGUAGUUGGUGGGGUAACGGCCUACCAAGCCUACGAUCUAUAGCUGGUUUUAGAGGAUGAUCAGCCACACUGGGACUGAGACACGGCCCAGACUCCUACGGGAGGCAGCAGUAGGGAAUCUUGGACAAUGGGGGCAACCCUGAUCCAGCCAUGCCGCGUGAGUGAAGAAGGCCCUAGGGUCGUAAAGCUCUUUCGCCUGUGAUGAUAAUGACAGUAGCAGGUAAAGAAACCCCGGCUAACUCCGUGCCAGCAGCCGCGGUAAUACGGAGGGGGUUAGCGUUGUUCGGAAUUACUGGGCGUAAAGCGCGCGUAGGCGGAUUGGAAAGUUGGGGGUGAAAUCCCGGGGCUCAACCCCGGAACUGCCUUCAAAACUCCCAGUCUAGAGUUCGAGAGAGGUGAGUGGAAUUCCGAGUGUAGAGGUGAAAUUCGUAGAUAUUCGGAAGAACACCAGUGGCGAAGGCGGCUCACUGGCUCGAUACUGACGCUGAGGUGCGAAAGUGUGGGGAGCAACCAGGUUAGAUACUCUGGUAAUCCCCCCGUAAGCGAUGAAUGCAGUCGACGGAUACUAUAUAUUCGGGGACCACCUACAGGUUAACAUCCGCUGGGAAU